rnacentral:rRNA from 1 species
UUCUGACCGUAAACGAUGCCAACUAUCAAUCUGCCAGCAGCUUCCAGUUGUUGGCAGGCGGAUCGACGGAAACGAAAGUUUUUCGGUUCCGGGGGAAGUAUGGUUGCAAAGCUGAAACUUAAAGGAAUUGACGGAAGGGCACCACCAGGAGUGGAGCUUGCGGCUUAAUUUGACUCAACACGGGAAACCUCACCCGGCCAGUACAUCAUAAGGAUUGACAGAUUGAAAGCUCUUUCAUGAUUUGAUGAAUGGUGGUGCAUGGCCGUUCUUAGUUCGUGGCGUGAGUCGUCUGCUUAAUUGCGAUAACGAGCGAGACUCCGAUUGUUAAAUAGCUGGCAGUUUACUUCGACUGCACAGCUUCUUAACGAGAUUCGCGUCUUCAAGGCGCAAGAAAUGGAGCAAUAACAGGUCUGUGAUGCCCUUAGAUGUUCGGGGCCGCACGCGUGCUACAAUGAUGGUAACAGCGUGAUUGUCCUCGCCCGAGAGGGCUUGGCAAACAGUUGAGAUAUUAUUAUGGCUGGAAUUGAGUGUUGAAAUUUUCUCUCAUGAACGAGGAAUUCCAAGUAAAUGCGAGUCAUCAACUUGCAUUG